UACGUAGGGGGCAAGCGUUGUCCGGAAUCAUUGGGCGUAAAGAGCGUGUAGGCGGCUCGGUAAGUCCGCUCUGAAAGCCCGGGGCUCAACCCCGGGAGGCGGGCGGAUACUGUCGAGCUAGAGUCCGGAAGAGGCGAGUGGAAUUCCUGGUGUAGCGGUGAAAUGCGCAGAUAUCAGGAGGAACACCAAUGGCGAAGGCAGCUCGCUGGGACGGUACUGACGCUGAGACGCGAAAGCGUGGGGAGCCAACAGG
rnacentral:rRNA from 1 species